GUCUUUUAGAUUGUUUUAAAAGUUUAGCCUGCCCAAUGAAUUUUAAAUGGCUGCAGUAUUUUGACUGUACAAAGGUAGCAUAAUCAUUAGUUUUUUAAAUGGAAACUAGUAUGAAAGGUUGGACGAGAAAAUUACUUUUUUUAUUUAAUGAUUUAAAUUUUAUUAAUAAGUAAAAAAGCUUAUAUAAUAUAAAAAGACGAGAAGACCCUAUAGAAUUUAAUAUUUGAAAAUAUAAGUUAUUUAGAAUAAAUAAUAUUUAUUUUUGAAAAUAUUUUACUGGGGCGGUAAAAAAAUAAAAUAAACUUUUUUUAAUUAUUACAUUUUUAAAUGAUUAAUUGAUCCUAAUAGAUUAAUAGAAUAAAUUACCUUAGGGAUAACAGCGUAAUUUUUAAAAAAGUUCUUAUUAAAAAAAAAGAUUGCGACCUCGAUGUUGGAUUAAAAUAAAUUAUUGGUGAAGAAGUUAAUAAAUUUAGUCUGUUCGACUAUUAAAAUUUUACU
rnacentral:rRNA from 1 species